rnacentral:lncRNA from 1 species
GUUGAUCAUCACGAAAUGACGAAAGAUAAAGGGAUUUUUUUUACCAGGUAGCAAAUUAAAUAUAUUGUUUUUAGACUACAUUAUUAUUGCAUUUGUGUUGAAAAAUUAAUAUAGUUUAAAGACUUUUUCUCAGAUCGCACGCCUACUCAGAAAAAAUGGAAAAAUGUGGAACAAUCGAACAAAGAUAGUGACGAUGGUAAUGAAUAUUUGCGUUCAAUUAUUUGUGUUCAUAUUCUAAAUACUUAUUGGUUUAUUCGAUUUAUAUUUGUGUUCAUAUUCUAAAUAUUUAUUGGUUUAUUCGAUUUAAUAUGUGUUUGAGAUUUAUUAAUGGUCUGAAUUAUUGACGUAUUAAAGUUCAACAUUUAGUGUAUUCAUAUUCCCUUCAAUUUUUGAUCAAAUAGCAAUUUGUUAUCUUCUCCAGAUCACUCAAUUCAUGGCUCUAAUCCUUCUCCAUCCACGAGGGAUCGAUGAAACAUUUGUUGUAUCUUCUCUAGAUCGCUUAAUCCAUGUCAAAUUUGGAUGAAACAAUUUGGUAUCUUCUCCAGAUCACUCAAACCAUCCACUCGCGACAAAUCUCCAUAUCAAUAUGCAAAUGCCCUAAUAACAGUCAAGGUACGUUCUUCAUUGUCUCUAUGCUGAUAAAUUCUCCCAAUAUUUCAUCUCAACUUAAUAUAUUUCUAAAAUCAUACAAACACCUUCAUCAUUUGUAUAAAUUGAAUGAAUUAGGAAAUGAAGAACAAUCUACGACGCCUAACCCAUACCAGCCAUAACUCUCCCUUUAGGCCACUCACGUUAGCACGCCGACGCCAGCAAGAGGAAAACAACCAUUUGCCAACGCCUAGGCCAACAUUUUCAGUUUCCGGUUAGUUUGAGUAUCGUACUUUCUUCUUGCCUAAUUCAGUUUGGUGUAAUUUUUCUAAUUCGAUUCCAAUUUUAUGUGUGCUCAUCUAUUUGUUUAUGGUUUGACACUAACUAA